CCCCCCCCACCAUUCUUAUCUAUAGCCCCCACCCACCGCUCAGGGGUGGGGGCCGGGGGGGGGAGGACAGUAGGUUCCCCUCUCCUAUCUUUGUUUAGGGCCCCCACCCACUGCUCAGGGGUGGGGGCCAGGGGGAGAGGACAGU